GGUAAUAAUGGCGAAGCCUGAUGCAGCCAUGCCGCGUGUAUGAAGAAGGCCUUUCGGGUCUGUAAAGUACUCCCAGUAGGGAGGAAGGUUCAUACGUUAAUAGCGUAUGGAUUUGACGUUACCUACAGAAGAAGCACCGGCUACCUCCGUGCCAGAGCCGCGGUAACAA
rnacentral:rRNA from 1 species